rnacentral:rRNA from 1 species
CGUGAAAUUGUUGAAAGGGAAGCGUUUAUGACCAGACUUGGGCUUGGUUAAUCAUCUGGGGUUCUCCCCAGUGCACUUUUCCAGUCCAGGCCAGCAUCAGUUUUCCCCGGGGGAUAAAGGCGGCGGGAAUGUGGCUCUCUUCGGGGAGUGUUAUAGCCCACCGUGUAAUUCCCUGGGGGGGACUGAGGUUCGCGCAUCUGCAAGGAUGCUGGCGUAAUGGUCAUCAACGACCCGUCUUGAAACACGG